CGCGUAGGCGGCUUUGUGAGUCCGUUGUGAAAUCCCUCGGCUCAACCGAGGAACUGCGACGGAUACUGCUCGGCUUGAGUCCCGGAGAGGGUAGCGGAAUUCCCAGUGUAGCGGUGAAAUGCGUAGAUAUUGGGAGGAACAUCGGUGGCGAAGGCGGCUACCUGGACGGGUACUGACGCUGAUGCGCGAAAGCUAGGGGAGCAAACA
rnacentral:rRNA from 1 species